rnacentral:lncRNA from 1 species
CAAAGUCAAAGCUCCUACUUCCAAAGCCUCCAAGAAAAAAAGAGUUGGUCUCAGGCCAUGGAAGAGCUCAACAAGGACUUUGAAAAGAGAUAGAAGGAAAAUUGGGAACAGAGAAAGAUCUUUGAUGGACUACAGGGUUUCCAUUGGAGAGGGUCUCAUUAUGCACAGCUACACUGGGAAGGGGCUCAAACUUCGAAUGCACCCUGCUGCACUUUGCUAACAAGGAAAAGGUUUCUCAAACAGCCCCUCGCUGGAAGAACUGUCAAAGAGAAUCUUUCUUCUUCAUUCUGGCUGAACUCUUGGGAAUCUUAGCUCAGUCCAGAUGGUGAACCUCAGCUGCUCUAUGAAACAGAGACACAAAAUAUCAUAGUAUCUGCACUGAAAGGCAAG